UGGGCACUUAAGUGGGCAGUGUUUGA
rnacentral:piRNA from 1 species